rnacentral:rRNA from 1 species
GACGAACGCUGGCGGCGUGCUUAACACAUGCAAGUCGAACGGAAAGGCCCUGCUUUUGUGGGGUGCUCGAGUGGCGAACGGGUGAGUAACACGUGAGUAACCUGCCCUUGACUUUGGGAUAACUUCAGGAAACUGGGGCUAAUACCGGAUAGGAGCUCCUGCUGCAUGGUGGGGGUUGGAAAGUUUCGGCGGUUGGGGAUGGACUCGCGGCUUAUCAGCUUGUUGGUGGGGUAGUGGCUUACCAAGGCUUUGACGGGUAGCCGGCCUGAGAGGGUGACCGGCCACAUUGGGACUGAGGUACGGCCCAGACUCCUACGGGAGGCAGCAGUGGGGAAUAUUGCACAAAGGGCGGAAGCCUGAUGCAGCAACGCCGCGUGCGGGAUGACGGCCUUCGGGGUGUAAACCGCUUUCGCCUGUGACGAAGCGUGAGUGACGGUAAUGGGUAAAGAAGCACCGGCUAACUACGUG